rnacentral:rRNA from 1 species
AUGAGCGGCGGAGCGGGGGCGGCGGCGGCGGUGAGCAGGUUCAUCAAGUGCGUGGCCGUGGGCGACGGCGCCGUGGGCAAGACCUGCAUGCUCAUCUGCUACACCUGCAACAAGUUCCCCACCGACUACAUCCCCACAGUGUUCGACAACUUCAGCGCCAAUGUCUCCGUGGACGGCAGCAUCGUCAACCUCGGCCUCUGGGACACCGCAGGUCAGGAGGAUUACAGCAGGCUGAGGCCUCUGAGCUACAGGGGAGCCGAUGUCUUCAUCCUCUCCUUCUCCCUCACCAGCAGAGCAAGCUAUGAGAAUGUGCACAAGAAGUGGAUGCCGGAGCUUCGCCGGUACGCCCCCGGCAUUCCUGUACUACUUGUUGGAACCAAGUUGGAUCUCCGAGAAGAUAGAGCAUAUCUUGCUGAUCAUGCAGCUGAUUCCAUCAUAACAACUGAGCAGGGUGAGGAGCUUCGGAGACAAAUAGGUGCGGUGGCAUACAUAGAAUGCAGCUCCAAGACACAAAGGAACAUUAAGGCUGUUUUCGACACCGCAAUCAAGGCAGUUCUUCAACCUCAAAGGCACAAGGAGGUAGCCAGAAAGGAAAUUCGGACUCGCUCUAGUCGGUCAGUAAGGCGCUACUUCUGCGGGAGUGUUUGCUUAGCAUAG